ACUUAAACCUUGCAAUUGAUGUUUAAAAAUACUUUUUUCUAUGUGCCAGCUACAGUCAGAUGGAGGACCCUGGUUUCAUUGGCAAGGGGUGCCAGGCAGCAUGGACUGACUGUGUUUCCUGUGCACAGCCCCACGCUCUGUGCCAGCCAGCCCAGCGUCUCUCUGCAGCCACAUCACAGACACCAGGCAACUGUCGCAUCCCAGCGUGAUCCUGCUGUGGGCAUCGGGAUGUGAAUACCCUUCCUGAGGCCUGGAGCAUUCCCAGCUCCAGGCAGCCAUGGACUGUGGAGUUGUGGACUGUGCUGUGUUUGUAGGAAAGGCUUGCAGCUGUGGCUCAUUGGCAGCUGGCAGAGCUCUCAUCAGUGAUUUGAGCACUGGAAUACCUUCCCUGCAUGUCCUUCUAUUGCAAAGCCAGGAGCAAGAACACUGAGAUGAACUGUUUGUUGAUGCAAGCUGCCAGCAGAGGAUGUGGCUGAUGAACUGUGAGGGCCGGGAAGAGAUGUCUCCAGGGAGCAGGCCCCGGGCAGUGCUAUGUCUGCACAUGAGAAGGUCCAGAGGAGUCGACCCUCAGUGAGACCCAUUACAUCCAGUGCCCCUGAUCAAACACAAAGCUCAUAGCUCUGCAUUGCUUUUGCUAAUACUAUAAUCAUCCAUUGCAGGCUUUUCUUACAUAACCAGCAUAGGUCUAUGUUGACUACCAGCUUUGCAGUUUGAGUUCACUCAUGCUUCCUAUUUUUUUUAGCUUCUGUUGGAGUUUCACAGCUCACCUAACCUGCAAGGGCCAUGAACAAAGUACAUGAAUAUGCACCGCUUGCUGGCAGAGCAAACAAUCCUCUCAGACAACAGGAUUGUUAUUAAAACGCGUUGUUUUGUUGGCAGAAUAGGCUGUUGCCAGGGGUUGCCCAAGGUGAGCCUGACCUCUGUGGUCUCUGAAGCUCUCUCUUGUGGGUGAGCUGAGCAAUGCUGGAAUGUAGCAUUUAAGGUGGAUUAACUGUGAACCUAACACAGGAAACAGUUCAGAGAGAGUAAAAGUAUUACAUUGCACAAUUAAGGAUAAAACAUAGCUUUUGAUCCCAUAGGACACAAGUUCCAAGGCUGAGAACAGGAUUAUUUGAUGAGAAUCACAGUCAUCUUGUCAGUGCAGAGUAAUGUUUGCAGCCUCCAGAAUUCUGCCUUUCCAGGUGCAAGAGCAGUGGAGAGACAGGCUUGGCCAGUGGACAGAGAUGGGUCUGCAUUCUCCCACUGUGAGUACAGUAACAAAACCAUGCACCCCACCUCACCCCUUCCACCCACAACAGGUCCCCACCUGUCAGGUCUGUCGACUUUGAACUCUUAAAAUCUUGAAGCAGUUUCACGUGUAUCAUAACACAAACCCUGCACUUUGGCACUAACUUCAGCUGAAAUAAUUUGCACAGACUGGUCCUAAGAAACACCAUCCACCCAAGUGAAAUUCUGAAUUGCUAGCUGCACCCUCACAACAUAAUGUAUUCAUAGGCCUAGGGAUCAACAUGAAUUGGGGUUUCUGGAAAAGGAUGUAUCUGUUCCUUGCUCAGGUCACUAGCUCUCUAGCCACCAUCUACAGAUCCCUUCGAUAUUCUGUAAAAGGGCAGAUCACUACCCUUUAACUCUUUCACCAGGGCUGCAGGGCAGAACUGCUGGAGGUUCACCUGAGCUAAAUGGAAUUUCCUGUUUGAUUGAGGCCAGUGGUUUGUUUGGUUUCAGGGCUUUUUGAAGUUAGUUCUUGCACCUUAAGUAUUCCACUUUAAAACUGUGCUAUAGCAGGUGUUGGCUCUCUGUUACACUGCAGCUAAAAAACAGUUUCUACCACAGAUUUUACAGGCAAAUCAGUCUGAAGAUUUUUGUUUUCUGAGCUAAACUACCAUUUCUUAGCUAGUUAUUACUGGAAGGCACAGCACAGUGCAUGACACUGUGCUGGGCUGCACAAAUAUGUGUUAAGCCUUGGACUACCAUGAAGAACGUACAGAGUAGGAUUACAAGCAUGAUUUAGUUAUGAACUACAGACACCUGAAAAUGAAGGAACACUUUUGCAGUCUGAUUCUUGCCUACCAUUACAGGAUUCAAAUCUAAAAUGCAACA